UAAGACAUGACUUGUUCUUCCUUGCCUUCCACCAUGAUUGUGAAGCUUCCCCAGCCAUGUGGAACUGGAGCUGACAUCAUCAGUGGUGGUUUGCUGUGAUUCCUUCAGCCUUCUGACCUCUGAAAGCCAGACCUUUGCUCCCACAGAUCAUCCCAUAAUUUUACGGAGUCUUGCUCUGUCACCCAUGCUGGAGUGCAGUGGUGCGAUCUCGGCUCACUGCAAACUCUGCCUCCCAGGUUCAAGUGAGUCUUCUGCCUCAGCCUCCUGAGUAGCUGGGACUACAGGCACAUGCCACCAUGCCCGGAAUUUUCUAGCAGAAUGGAAUGCCAUCUGGGGCAGCAAGCUCAGUGGGAAUGUUCCAAUCAACCCGGAUGACUGACCCCUGCCAAGAAUGGUAGAGAGAAAGAUUCUACUGGAAGUCCUGUAAUGGACCUGCAAUCCUAUCUUCCAGGUCCCUGGCUCCGGGGCCCACUGUGACACAGGAUUCAUCCUGGCAUUCAAGUGCCUACACAACCUGGUUACCUCAUUGAUUGGCUGUUGCCCCUACUCUUCCCUGAGGAGAACACUCGAUACAGGAUGACCCCCUUCUACUUCCUUCCUCAACUUCAUCUUUCAGUUUCUCCAUUGCUCAUUGUUGGCUCUUUUCUCUGCCUAAAACGCCCUAUUCCUUUCUCUGCCACUCAAAUCCUGCCCAGACUUCAAAGCUCAGAACAAAUUGCAUCCCCUCUCUAUAAUCUUCACUGAGCAGCUUCAGCAAACAUUGCUAUAUUCCUCUCCUGAAUUCUUACUAUUGCACUCAUUGGAAACUCCCAAUUCUGUUCUCCUUUUGUUUGGUUUCUGGUACCCAAGUCUUAUCAUUUCAGUAGGAUUUUAAGUUCUCAGUGGCAGGAAACAUACUUUAUAAUGAACACUUAAUAGGUGCUCAAUGAAAUUUCUUUCUUUCUUUCUCUUUUUAUUUUCUCUUUUUCUCUCCUUCUCUCUUUCUUUUUCUUUCUUUCUUUUCUUUUUUUUUUUUUUGAGACAGGGUCUUGCUCUGUCACCCAGGCUGCAGUGCAGUGGCAUGAUCUUGGCUCACUGCAACCUCUGCCUCCUGGGUUCAAAAGAUUCUCAUGCCUCAGCCUCCCAAGGACCUGGGACUACAGGCAUGUGCCACCACAUCCAGCCAAAUUUUUGUAUUUUUAGUAGGGAAGAGGUUUCACCAUGUUGGCCAGGCUGCUCAAACUCCUGACCAUAGUGAUCCUCCUGCCUCGGCCUCCCAAAGAGCUGGGAUUACAGGCAUGAGCCACCAGGCUUGGCCAUGAAAUUUUCGAUGAUUGAUAAGCCAUGUACUGACCAGGCCUAGUAGGAGAAUUUUAUCAGGCCAAGAGGUCACUUAAAGAGCAUAAUGGUGAAUAAGCAACUAGUUUAUUAAAUGAA
rnacentral:antisense_RNA from 1 species